AGUUUUAAGGAAUAAAUAUAUUGCCAUAACACAGGGGAAUAUAGAUUCAAUUUUGUGAAUGGUCGUCUAAUUGUGACGUAAUUAAUCAAUGUUCCGGAUGUCAUCAGAGGAAGACGUGCCCAUGCUCCGCCUCUGGACCACCGCGACGCGAACGCGUCAUCACGAACCAGCAGCGGCGGCGAACGGUUCACCAAUAACGAUCGGCAAAGCAAAGCAUCGAGGAAAGGACCGACAACUAUCGGGGCUUCACGACAUGAUUUGAGGAUGCGAGAGAAACGCACGCACACGGUGUCGGGGGUCAUCUUGGCACGGAAUGGCAGGAAAGACUUUCCUUUGGGAUUAUGUAAGCACGAGCAGCGAGAUGUGAGGACGAGCACGACCCUCACUAAAGUGCAUCAGUGUCCCGGAAGCCUCGGUGUCUCCUCCCGUUCUCCGCGAGCGCUCUCUAUUUACACGCUGCCAGUGCGGCACAUUCAUAGGCGAGUAACGUUACUUCAUCAUAUGCAUAAAAAUAUUACCGUCAUUUAAUUUUUUUUAUCCGUAUGACACUAUAACACAUACUGUUUUCUUUUUAAAGAAUAAACGGAUUGUAUUACUAUAAAACUAGAAAUUAUUUAUAAGUGAUAACUUCUCAUCUAAUUUGUGUAUAUUUCAUAUUUCAUAAAUGCGAGCAUUUUUUAAGUUCGGGAUCCGGAAUUAUGUUAAGCAAAGACUCGUAUGUAUAUGUUUGUAUACUUUGCCAGCAUCACAAUAUGUACUGUACUGUAUGUUGUGGUGUGUCAUGUCAUGUAGCGCGCGACAUCAUCGGGAAGUGUCACCCGCGUCCUUCACGAGCUGCGGCGUCGCUGCGCGCCCGCACGAGGCGCCGGUUUCACGGUUACAGUGCCCGCGCGCAAGGGCAACCGAACCAAAAGAGCUAAAAAGUAGGAAAAUCUAUUUUUCUGCAAUAUUCGAGACCCUCUGGUAACAGUAAACCAUUAUUGGGCUUUUUAUGUUCAAGUGAUCUUGGACUAAGCUAAUCACUUCUGACAGAAAGUAUGGCAUAAAGUAAACUGUCAAAAUGCAUAGUGCUUUAUUAAAAUUAAUGUCAGUAACAAGUCUCCGCAUGUUUACUUUAAUAAUUCGUGUGAAAGCCACUCUAAGCGAUUAAAUACAUUAGUGUAUAAUACGUUUCUUGUAACGCACCGACCGUUAGUCUGUUUCCAAGCCCGGUAAUGGCGUCUUUAUUCCGGCAGGAGUCACCACGCAGCUUCCGCUGGCACGAAUGCCUCAGCUAGCGAGCAAGCUACUGGCGAAUGUACGAGGAAUAUCGCUUACGCCGAUUAAAUUUGUGAAGUGAUGUCUUAAUAUAUACGUAUCAAUACCUCCUUGCUGACAAUUCAAGCGUGGAUGCAUGCACAUUUAGAUUUUUUGCAGGGAUUGUGACAUUAUAAAAAAAACGCAUUAUUUCGCUAAAAAUUAUUUUGUCGUGAAUAUAAAUGCUUAAAUGUUUAAUUCUGAUCACAUAUUCAGACUUAGUACAAUAAUACUAUGUUUUGGUGUAUCAGAAUCCCGAACAGAGCUAUGAGCGGCCGCUUGUACCUUCCCUCGCCCCAGAGCCCUCACUGCAGAGCCGCCAUGAAUGUUACAAAGACUCGGGGACGAGCAAAUAGAAAAACGAUCUAAACGGGCUCAAAAAUCAUCAAAUCACUUACCUUUUUCAAUAAUACGUCGCGGAUGUGCUUAUUAACUAGCGACGUGUUCGUGUUAAAUGAUUUUAUUGUAUUUAAGUAUCUGUUUUUUAGCCGUAAACCCCGGGGAGUCAGGUCGAAACGAAUCCGACAAAAGGAGCGUCUGGUUCGGUAUGAAACUCCGCCCAGCGCCGCAGGGGGAGGAACUCCGAGGGAAAACAUGCGAAAAAAAAAGGCGGAGGCUAAAACUUAAAAAUAAUACUUAUUUUUAACAUUCUGGUACAUUUCUGAUUGAUAUUGAUAAAAUGUUUAUUCAUUUUGCAACAUUUUAAAGAGCUACUUUUGUCAAGCCUUAAACUCACCUUAAAGGAAAAAGGAAAUUACAGUGCAUGCAUCUAACGAUAAUAAACUGCGUUAAUAUUAGUUUAUAAAAGAGUUCUCUUUUAUGACUGAGCAUUUACCAGGACAAAAAUAUCUACUGGUUCCCAUGCAAAAGUGCAGGACUCUUUGCCAACCCUGCAAGGACUUCCAAGUGCUAAACCGAUUAGUUUGGGUGCCCACGUUCAUCCUGCUGCCGCGGAAACACACACGGCCUCCGCGCUCCAAAAACAUCGCCUCUGCAGCCCAAAAUCCCUCGGUUCUAAUGGGUGUUGAGUUGAUCUCCAUUUGACGUUGCACUGAUGUGUUGGCAGAGGCGAUGUAGAAUGACGGCUGCUUGUACUUAAAGUUCCCAUGGCUUGAAUUGAGCGUAAAGAUCACAGUCAGGCAUCGUUUCCUCUCAGCCCGAGUAAAAGUGCCAUUGACUGUAUCUCGCCCUCAUGCUCUCUGAUUGUACACAAUCGUCACGAGAUUUCUUUACAUGAAACUGACCAAUGGCACGAGGAAAGGAGGAGACAGCUGUGACUGACUCAACCCCCUCAGACUGACCAGGCCUGGGAGAGAUGCUUCAUACAAACCACUGCAAGUGUACCACUGAUGAGCAUUUAUUAAGGCAGCAUUUUGUCAUAUAUAUUGAGCUGGAUGCUUCAUGAAUAGUAAGCAUUAGUGGUGUGUGAUCAUUUCUCUCAAGAUUAUGGUCAAGAAAAACCAUUUCACAACGAACAUAUACAUUUAUUAAGUCAUGUUGAGCUUCUAAGUAUUUCACCAGCUAGAAAAUGUUCUUAUUUAAAAUAAAACUCGCUUGAUUUAUAUUUUGAGCGUGUAUUGUUCUUUUGGGUCAGUUCUUUUUGUUAGGUGUAUUUUGUAACUGGUUUCUUGUAACUGUCCAGAGUCUUACUGGUUUAAAACUAAAUGCUAAAAUCAAACGAAACAUGUAUGCCUGUAGGAAAAUUAUGAAAAGUGACUUUAAUAUUUGAAA